UACGUAGGUGGCAAGCGUUGUUCGGAAUUAUUGGGCGUAAAGGGCGCGUAGGCGGUCAGCACAAGUCAGUUGUGAAAUCUCCGGGCUUAACUCGGAAAGGUCAACUGAUACUGUGCGACUAGAGUGCAGAAGGGGCAACUGGAAUUCUCGGUGUAGCGGUGAAAUGCGUAGAUAUCGAGAGGAACACCUGCGGCGAAGGCGGGUUGCUGGGCUGACACUGACGCUGAUGCGCGAAAGCCAGGGGAGCGAACAGG
rnacentral:rRNA from 1 species